UCGCCAAUGUCAUUCCUCCUAUUCUGGCAUCCAAAAACACAGCAGGACGACAUUUUAGAAAAGUUGACAGAGCCUAGUCCCUCAGUCUUUCGCCUUUCGGUCACGGCCGCGGGCUUCCUCUUUUCCCUCCAGCUAAAGCUGUGAUGUCAUUCGUGACGUGGGUCAUGAAAGGGUCUAUUUGACUCAAAAAUGAAAUGAAAAAGCAAUAUUCCAAAAUGCAAUUUCAUUUUCUUCUUCAACACUGCUCAUUCUGUGACUAAAUGAAAAAGCAAAAGCAAACUCAGAAAUGCUUUUGCAUUUUCGUGUUCCCCCGCAAAAAGUGUCUCAUAAUUCAAAUGCAAAUGCAUUCUCAAGUGGCGCAGGAAAGUGACGUCACGGACCCCCCCUCGUUCUGGCCCCUUCUGCAUUUUACGGCAUUUUAAACAAUGCCGGCUCAUUGCGCUGCAUUUAAUUGCACAUUACGUCGAACGUUGGAGACAAGGAAACUUGGAAUAACUUUCCAUAGGUUUCCCAAAGACUUUCGGCUGAGGAGGAAGUCACAUAGUGUCAUAGAGUCCUACCCACCCACUUACUUAAAAAUACAGACAACUGAACAUCUGACUGUAGAAUAGUUUGCAAACAAGGUUAUUCACAGUUUAAGCAGUUUUGGUUCAUUAUCUACAGAUAUGCAUCAAAAUAGGAGUUUUGUUGAAGAAAGGUUGUAAGAAAUUUGAAGGAAGAAAACCUCUUGACCUCUUUUUCUGUUUUGAUUUUGAAGGUGAUGUGAUGUGUGCCGUUCAAGCUUGGUCAGAGAUGCUGUACCAUCAUUUAACGAAAGCUACCACCUUCUAGCUCUGAAAAACAAUGGCGGCCUACUGAUUCCAUCACAAGGCACAGUGAAGAGAGGGUGAUUCGCCAGGCAUCAACAAAACAAGCUCCAAAGGUGUCAACAGUCACACACAUCGUCCGAGAGGAGAUUGGAACGGAGGAUGUUUUUCUGCUUGGGGAGCACAUUGAAGAAACACAUCAUUCCAGCUUGUUGUCAUUGGUUGUGUUUGCCAAACUUACCCGUACCUUGACCUGCAGAAAGGGAGCACGAGAAAGAAGCUCGGCAAAACAGUCCUCUUUCAUCGGUUUUAGCUGUAAAACGUUUGUACAUGUGUAAAUGUGGUUUGGGGCAGGGAUGUCAUGUUCUUGUGUUAAUACAAUAACAUCAUCAUAAAACAACCAAGCCAUAAAAAUUUCAGACUUGUUUAUUAAAGUACUGUUUGAGUUCAUUUUCAAAGUAUUUUCCAUUUGGUUUUUCUUUGCCCAUUUCGUUUUGUGAAUAUGAAAUUUGCCCAGCAUGAUGAUAGUCUGCAACAAAAGGGAAAGGCUGGAAGGUAUGGAGGGAUUUUCAAACUGAAAGAGGAUGUGGCUCUCCUGGAGGCUGAUCCUGUGUCCAGUUUUGUUAUGGAUUAGGGUUUGUAUAUAAUUCCAGAGGUUUUUACUGUAUGAGCAUUGAUUAAAGA